rnacentral:lncRNA from 1 species
GGGGCUGUUUGGUUGCACGCAUUUGCAACUGCAGUGCAGUUGCAAAUACGUGCAGUCUCAAUUCCUUUGUUUGGUUUAGUGUAGUUGAGUUCAACUGCUGCAGUUCCAACUAUACAAGAAGGUCCAAAUAUUGCAGUUGGAACUACAUCCAAAUUGGCCGUAGUUCCAACAGCAGCAGUUGGUGAGGAAUAGGAUCACCCACAAAUUAACAAUAAUAAAUAAAUAAAUAAAUAGCUAAAUAAAUAAAUAAUAUAUGUAUAUAGGUAAAUAAAAAUACUUGUAAAUAAACUCAUACUAAUAAAAAUUUUUAGACAAUAAAAGUUUUGUGCAAAAAAUUAAAUUUUUUAAAUUUAUUUUAUUUAAAAUAUAAAUAUAGUUUUUUUAAAAAAAUUUUAUAGAAUGUGAUCGUGUAUGUUAAUUUAAUAAGUUUUAAUUAAUUAUAAUUAUUAAACUUAAUAAAAAAAAGAGAGAAUCGUUUAAAUUUUAAAGUUUGAUUUACAUAUUAAAAUUAAAUAAAUUAAAAAUUUUAAAUGUGUCGAUUAAUAAGUUGAAGAAUAUUAUAUAUAUCUACUUAUUUAUUUAUAAAUAGUAAAUUUAAAUAAUUAAUAAACUUAUACAAUUAUUUUAUGUUUAGUGAAGGUAAUCUCACCACUCUAUCUGAAAAGGUGACAAAAUUCACGAAUACAACUAUCAGCUUCAUAUUACCAAACAGAAGAAAUAUAACUGCAGCAGUUGCAACUGUGUAAAACCAAACAGACUAGGUGUAGUUACAACUGCAGCAUUUGCAACUGCAUGUAUUUUCAACUACACUGUUUCUGCAACUAUAUCUAACCAAACAGUCCCUAAGUGUUGGAGUUAACAAGUACUAAUAA